UCUCCGGUCAUUGGGGAGUAGUCGCCUUUUGCUUCGGCAAAAGGGCUUGCAUCAACACACUUGAUCCUUCGAUCAUGGUGCAAGCGGUUUCUAACCUGGCAAGACCUUUGACUACACAGCCUUCGGAUUGGUCGGGGAGAUGUGUAGUCAUUGUUCUUGUCCGGCCUAGGAAAUU
rnacentral:sRNA from 1 species